AGAGUUUGAUCCUGGCUCAGGAUGAACGCUAGCGGCAGGCUUAGCACAUGCAAGUCGAGGGGCAGCGCGGGAUAGCAAUAUCCUGGCGGCGACCGGCGGAAGGGUGCGUAACGCGUGAGCGACAUGCCCGUUGCCCGGGGACAACCGGUGGAAACGCCGACUAAUCCCCGAUGGGAUACGAUGCUUCAUGGCAUUGUAUUGAAAGUUACGGCGGCGACGGAUUGGCUCGCGUCCGAUUAGCUUGUUGGCGGGGUAACGGCCCACCAAGGCUACGAUCGGUAGGGGUUCUGAGAGGAAGGCCCCCCACAAUGGGACUGAGACACGGCCCAUACUCCUACGGGAGGCAGCAGUGAGGAAUAUUGGUCGAUGGGCGGAAGCCUGAACCAGCCAUGCCGCGUGCGGGAAGGAGGCCCUAUGGGCUGUGAACCGCUUUUGCCUGGGGGCAAUAAGGGCGUCGCGCACGUCCGAUGAGAGUACCAGGCGAAUAAGCAUCGGCUAACUCCGUGCCAGCAGCCGCGGUAAUACGGGGGAUGCGAGCGUUAUCCGGAUUCAUUGGGUUUAAAGGGUGCGUAGGCUGUGCGUCAAGUCGGGGGUGAAAUUCCGGUGCUCAACACCGGGGCUGCCCUUGAUACUGUCGCGCUGGAGUGCGGAUGCCGCCGGAGGAAUGAGUGGUGUAGCGGUGAAAUGCUUAGAUAUCACUCAGAACACCGAUUGCGAAGGCAUCUGGCGAAUCCGUAACUGACGCUGAGGCACGAAAGCGUGGGGAUAGAACAGGAUUAGAUACCCUGGUAUUCCACGCCGUAAACGAUGAUGGCUAACCGCCGGCGACACACUGUCGGUGGCCAAGCGAAAGCGAUAAGCCAUCCACCUGGGGAGUACGUCGGCAACGAUGAAACUCAAAGGAAUUGACGGGGGCCCGCACAAGCGGAGGAACAUGUGGUUUAAUUCGAUGAUACGCGAGGAACCUUACCCGGGCUCGAACGGCACCUGGAUCGCCCAGAGAUGGGCGAGUCUUCGGACAGGUGUCGAGGUGCUGCAUGGUUGUCGUCAGCUCGUGCCGUGAGGUGUCGGCUCAAGUGCCAUAACGAGCGCAACCCCUGCCGCCAGUUGCCAUCAGGUGAUGCUGGGCACUCUGGCGGGACUGCCACCGCAAGGUGUGAGGAGGGGGGGGAUGACGUCAAAUCAGCACGGCCCUUACGUCCGGGGCGACACAC
rnacentral:rRNA from 1 species